UACGUAGGGGGCAAGCGUUGUCCGGAAUCAUUGGGCGUAAAGCGCGUGUAGGCGGCCCGGUAAGUCCGCUGUGAAAGUCGGGGGCUCAACCCUCGAAUGCCGGUGGAUACUGUCGGGCUAGAGUGCGGGAGAGGCGAGUGGAAUUCCUGGUGUAGCGGUGAAAUGCGUAGAUAUCUGGAGGAACACCGGUGGCGAAGGCGGCAUUCUGGACCAUUACUGACGCCGAGGAGCGAAAGCCAGGGGAGCAAACGGG
rnacentral:rRNA from 1 species